rnacentral:rRNA from 1 species
UGGGAGCGGCGAACGGCGUAGUAAGACGUAGGAACGUACCCUCUGGACGGGGAUAGCUAUGGGAAACUGUAGGUAAUACCCGAUAAUCUCUGCGGAGCAAAGGUGUGAUUCCGCCGGAGGAGCGGCUUACGCGAUAUUAGCUUGUUGGUGGGGUAAUGGCCUACCAAGGCGAUGAUGUCUAGGGGGUGUGAGAGCAUGGCCCCCACGACCGGAACUGAGAUACUGUCCGGACACCUACGGGUGGCUGCAGUCGAGAAUCUUCCGCAAUGGACGAAAGUCUGACGGAGCGACGCCGCGUGCGGGAUGAAGGCCCUUGAGUUGUAAACCGCUGUCAGAGGGGAUGAAAUCUUCGGAGGUACUCCUCCGAAGUUGACAGAGCCUCAAAGGAAGCACGGGCUAAGUACGUGCCAGCAGCCGCGGUAACACGUACUGUGCGAACGUUAUUCGGAAUCACUGGGCUUAAAGGGUGCGUAGGCGGCGAUUCAAGUCAGAUGUGAAAUGCCUGAGCUCAACUGAGGCAUUGCGUUUGAAACUGAAUUGCUAGAGUAUCCUAGGGGUGUGCGGGACUGCCAGUGGAACGGUGAAAUGUGUUGAUAUUGGCAGGAACACCGGAGGCGAAAGCGGCACACUGGGGGA